CUUUUCUUCUUCUUCUUUUUUUUGAGACAGGGUCUCGGUAUGUAGUCCAGGCUGGCCUUGAACUCACAGCCAUCUUCCUGCCCCAGCUUCCUGAGUGCUGGUAGUGUCCCGAAGCCUGGCUUCAUUUUUCAUUCAACGAAGACUUCAUUUGUAAAAUGAACCAACAAUCCCUUCUUCCCACAACUGAGCUGUUGUUCUAAGGGGAGCUGAAUGAAAACUCUUUCAGGGUCUCACAACCCUGUGUCCUAGGCAGAGCACCUCCUCCUGGCUUGGUUAUGAGCGUUUGUUUGUAAGAUGGAGAACUGUUUGGAGCAUUGUUAAGAUUCAAAGGUAAUAAAGACACAAAAUAGCCUCAGUAGAAAGUAGCGGUCAUUGUUCUACUCUGGGGUGGGGUUCCCGAUUCUGCAAGGGGCUCUUAACCUAGAAAGUUUGCGAACAGACGGCAUAAACUGCUGGGUGCCGCCGGGAAACUGUCCUCACAUAAAACGGGGCUGGCCGGGAAGGCGCGGCGCCAUGGAAAUUAGAAGACCCCGGUUCCAUGGCUAACUGGCUUCCCCUAAGUGGGGGAUCUGUUAAAAAAGCGGGGUGGGAAGACGGUGGUCCGAGUCUCAGGCAAGGCUCACCCCAAGCGAGCCUCAGACCCAGGGUUAAAAGGGCUCAGGAGCGCGGGCCGCACGCAGGGCGAACUACGCCUCCCAGUGUGCUCCGCGCGCGCGCCAGCGUCUUACACCGACACGUGACCCCUCACUGUCUCUCGCGAGAGGACGGGCCGCGACGGCGGUAGUGUUAGCCAGCCCUGGUGGUUGUGGUGGUGGUGGUGGUGGUGGUGGUGGCGGCCGAGGCGCCGGCGGCCAUUUUGGGGAGGCCUCGGCAGCGGUGGCGGCGGCGGCAGCAGCUUGCUGAGAAUAGCGUCUGCCUUCUUCCCAACUCACUGCCCGCGACUCUGUGCCGAGGAGGCAGUGCAGGAAAGGCGGUGGCAGUAGCCGCGGUCCCCAGGGGAAUUUAAAGGCCGUGAAGGCUGCGGCCAAGAGGGGGCCCUCCCCCCUCCUCGGCGGGAGGGGUGGUGGUGCGCACGCCCCCGAGGACGCAGGUGUGAUUCCCCUCAUUACGGCGGCACCGUGGAAGUGCAGACUUUCACAGGGGGUGUGGUCUCAGCUCACACAGGGUUUGAUGCUGUGGAUGGAGGAAGAUAGGGUCACCUUCGUUUGACCAGGAAGAGUAACAGGUUCUCUAUGGCCGGACAUGGUGAUAUAUAUCUGUAAUCCCAGCACUCGGGAGGCUGAGGUGGGAAGAUUACUGCAAGUUCGAGUCCAG
rnacentral:lncRNA from 1 species